AAAGGGUGUUCCUGUCCAUGGACUCCACUUUCUCUGUGAAUUGAGAUUAUUUGCUAAUAAUGAGGGGCAGAGAUAGUAUAGGAUAUUUGAACAAAGCCAUUUGUGAAUGCUAUAUAUAGGAUGUUAAUAUAGGAAUGCUGAAAAGGUAUAAGCAUGUGUGAGCAUAUAAAGACUGUAUUUCACAUAUGUAAAAUUUAGAGAAAUCAAAAUAUUUCCUUAUUGCGUGCUUGCUUGUUUGAUUCCAUUGUUUACUUUAUGGAGGAAACAUGAUUUUUAAUAACCUAAACAUUUCAUUUCUUUUUAUAAUUACAAGCAAAUAGGGGUGGUGAGGACUGAUUUGGUAGACAGAGUGAAAUCAAGGAAGUGCAGUAAGACACAGAAAAGAAAGGAGAAGGGGAAGCUGGAGAAGAAGGAAGGUCUUCAGGACUUGGGGUGUUCGGAAGUUACCCCCAAUUAUCUCUUAGCCCGGUGGACCUCAAAAGCAGAUGGUGGAAUGGUUCAAUACAUGUUUAGUCAUGCUUCUUGGAUGUGAAAUCAGACUUUGCAUUAUUGGCCUUUGACAAAUUACUGGUCUUUUCUCAAUUUUGGUCUCCUCGUCUGAAAAUGAGUAUAGUUCAACUUCAGAGACUCGCUGUAAAAACAUUGGUGAGUAAAAGUGCCACACUAAGGCUACUGCCACAUAGUAGGUGUUCAGUAAAUAUUAGGUUCCUUAUAAUUACUUCUCACUCUUCUUUGAGGUGUUCAUUAGUUCUCUGCUCUUUACUUUUAGGAUUUUCUCUGGUAUGGGUAAUUGAAGAGGUUUAGAGUGGAGAAUAUUAUUCCAUGGCCAGUAGGGAAAUGACCAUUCCAUACUUACACUCAAAUUUAAAUAAAAGGCCAAAUCUUCUUUGUAGUAAUUGGUUUAAAUUUAUUAAAGUGUCUUCUUACUCAUGGGUGCCAAAAGGCUUGAGUAAGUGGCUUUAAAACAUUAGACACAAAGAGUAUUAAAUCUUCCUAUGUUUCAGGGAUGAUGAGUGUGCCUGAAUUAUUAAGCUAGUGAAUGGUCCUUUCUGUGGAAGUUAGAGAGGGGGUGAUAUUAGGGAUUAGUGAUUCAGUUUUAUCUUAUACCAAAGGCUAAAAUAUAUCUAAAUCUAUAUACAUAAAAUAUGUCUAUAUCUAUGUACAUAUAUAUCUCCUUUUAUACAUGAUUAUGUAUAUAUAUGUAUAUAUAUAUUUAUAAUGCAUGGGAUUUUGCAAAAAUUAUGAGUUAAUUACCUUCUAUAUUUAGCCUUAAACAGUCUGUGCAAAGAGACUUCAUAAAAUCUGUCUAACUCUAAGAAAGCAUUCACAUGAACUUGGGCCUUGAAGACAUGCUUUUGGAACACAGUAAAAAUUAGGCCUGAAAUUAGGGCCAUAAUGAAACCCUAAAACAUUGUCGUGCUGAAGACAAACAGAACUUUCAGAGCAGGCUUUUGACAUUUGUCUGUGUACUCUUGCACUAAAACAAACAAUUAAAAAAACAGUUUGAAAGGAACUACUUUCCUUUAACUAUUUUUUAACAUAGUCCUCUGAAAGUACAGCAGGGAAAAAAAAAAAGUGUCUAUCAGCGUCUGAAGCAGAUGUCAGGGAAGCCCAGCUAAACCUUUGAGUUUAUUUCUCAGGACUUCAGCUUCUGGAGCACUCCCAGGCUAAUUGAAUCAAUUAUUGGUAUAAAUGCUAUAUAAUGAUCAGUGUAAGUGGAAACAAAGAGGAUUAGCCUCCAUCAGCCCUUAAUGCACAUUGACUCUCAAAGCUCAAAAUAAUUCAAAGUUCUCCUGUGCAUUGGAUCCACAAAGUGAUCCUGAACUAAUAAGGGGAGCCCAGGCGUGAUGGCAUCGCCCCUAGCACAGGAAGCUUCCUCCAGGCACAUGCUGUCUGGGGAUUUCAAAUGGCUUCUUGCUCUGUAUUCUUUCCAGAUGAUAAGUUUUCCAUACAUUUUCUUCCUUGCCAGGAAACGUUAUAUUCCAUCAUCUACUUGUAGCAGUGAAAAGGAUUGUCCAUAAAGAUCUCCAGGCACUUGUGAAGAUGAUACACGUGAUUCCUCUGAAGGGAUUGCUGUCUUUGAACCUAUCCAUGCUAUAAUGUUAUUUUUAUUAUUUUGGAAACAGUAUAGACAUAAGCAAAUAGUGUAGUGAAGCUGGUCCUGCCCUUGUAAAGCUUCAGUCUUUUGUAAAACAAACAAACAAGUCCAAAUGAUCUUACUCUGAGCCAGUGAACCCCUUGCAUUGGUUUGGUAACUUGGGAAAGGGAAGGGUCUUUCUCUUCAGAGCCCACUGGUUUCCUCCUCCCUUCACAUUUUAAGUUCUCACUGUUCCUGAAGGGUCUUCCCCCCAACCCCUCAUCAUUUCCACAUACAUUAGGAUUUAACAAAUUUCAUGUGUAUCAGUUUGUUUCACCAACUUGGUGAUACAGAAACUUUACCUUAUGCUUUUAGUCAUAAAAGCAUAAGAGCGUAGGGUGCUCCCGACAAGCCUGACAAUGUGCACAAACUGUGUGGCCUCAGUUUUCUUAUCUGUAAAAUUUGGAGUGUUGUUUUAAGGAAUAAUUGUGCUACUGCAUAUGAAAGUGCUGAAUAUGGGCCUGGGAGGGCCAUAGGCACAGAUAAAAGUAAAUUUUGUUCUCCCUUUCAGCAUGAUGCUAGGUACCUACACAAUAUGCUAUUUCCCCUUUAUGUAUCAUAAGUUAGCCAUUGUUUUCUCCUUAACACGUGACUCUGAGACUAUUAGCUCACUAGUAGCAAAGCAUCAUCAUUUUUAGAACUGAGUUAUGAGUUCCUCAGGAGAUGUGCCAGCUUUCCGGGUACCAGAAGUGGAUCUGUGCAGGUGUCAUCCUCAGCAUGGGAAUAGUUGCUGCUUGGGCAUACUUCCUCACUGAGGAUUACCUGUACCUUGACCAAUCUCCAACAUCAUCAUGAAGAAAAGUAUUAUGUAAACAGCAGAUCACUGAUUGAACAUUCUGCUAUUCAAGGACUACAUUUCAGUUCCUGUGAUGCCUUUGUUUUUCUUUUUUAUGGUCACACCUGUGGCAUAUGGAGCAUAUGGAAAUUCCCAGGCUAGGGGUCGAAUCUGAGCUUUGGCUGCUGGCCUAUGCCACAGCUGCAGCAACGCCAGAUCUGAGCAGCGUCUGUGACCUACACCAUAACUCACAGCAAUGCUAGUUCCUUAAGCCACUGAGCAAGGCCAGGGCUUGAACCUGUGUCCUUAUGGUUACUAGUCAGAUUAAUUUCUGCUGGGCCAUGAUGGGAACUCUUCAUUCCUUGUUUUCAUAUUAAUUCUUUAAGGAUCAAUUAGCAGACCAUUUUUUUUUUAGAAAAAGAAUUUUUUUUUUAUUAAAAUGUAGUUGAUUUACAAUGUUGUGCCAAUUUCUGCUAUAUAGCAAUGUGUAUAUACAUUUACAUUCCUUUUCUUAUAUUAUCUUCUAUCAUGUUCACUCACAAGUAAUUGGAUAUGGUUCCCUGUGCUCUAUAGUAGGACCUCAUUGGUUAUCCAUUCUAAAUGUAAUAGUUUGCAUCUAUUAACUCCACACUCCCCAUCCAUCCCACUCCCCCCCGCUCUUGGCAACCACAAAUCUGUUCUCUAUGUCUGUGAGUCUGGCAGACCACUUUUGCCCCCCAUAGUCUCUCCUUCUCUUUACUCUGCUUAUUCUUUUUAAAAGUAGAGAUUAGUCAAGAUUGUGAAAAUGGAAAUUCUGAAUGAAUUUGUUUUUAAGAAGAUGGUCUAUAACAUAGAUUAAAUUUAUUCUGAGGAUGCUUGUUCAAUACUGGUAAUAUGGUGCAAUAUAAAGCUUUGCUUCUCUAAGUGUGUUCAUUCCUUGGACCAGCAGCAUUGGUGUCACCUGGGAGCGUUUUGGCAGUGCAGACUCUCAGCAUACUCUCAGAAUCAUGGAAUUAUAAUCUUCAUUUGAAUAAGCUUUCUGGGUGAUCAGUGUGCUCAUUGAAGUCUGAAAGUUAUCGGUAAAGAGUACUGGCACUAAGGUGGGUUAUCCGACAUCUAAUCCUAGCUCUGCCACUAUCUAUCUAUGGCAUCCUAUACCAGUCAGAUCAGUUUUUCAAACUGUAUUCCUUGGAGCUUUGUCUCUUCAGCUAUGAUCACUCUGAGGCUGAGAGGUGAGGUCAGGGACUCCCACUUGAGCCCUGAUCAACUGUAGUUUUGUUUGCUUUUAGCCACUAGUCCAACAUAAGAUGCUGUUGGAAGAAAGGGUUUGUCCGCAAAAGAGAUUUGUAGCCUAGUCUCCCGGAGGGUUUCAAAGUCACUCCCAGGUAUAAAUUUUGUAUGAUUAUAAUAUCAGCCAUUGGUAUGAAAAAAAAAAAUAGGGGGCUGCACCCAGGACAUGUGGAAGUUCCUGGACCAGGGAUCUAAUCUGAGCCUUAGUUGUGACCUGUGCCACAGCUGUGGCAACACUGGAUACUUAACCUGCUGCACCACACAGGAACUUUAAAUAUGAAAAUUUUUAAAGGAAAUAGCUCUUCUUUUAUGUACACUUGUUUGGUACUGAAACCAAGAUUUUAGUUGCUUCUAGAAGGUUCCAUGAGUAAGACAGAGAAUCUUAGGCUGCCUGUCACUAAAUUUUUCACUGUUUUUUGCAAUCUUAGUCAUAUACUGCCCCAACUUUACCCCCUUUGACACAGCAAAAUAACUAUCCAUGAGACCUCAUGAUGCUGCCUUUCAUUUUGUCUUUUUUUUUUUCUUUAAUCAGUAUUGGCUUUUUGGACACACUCUGACCCUUAGACACCCACUAGCUAGUGCCAUUCACUUUGUGUAUAUUGAUUUAAAAAGAAUUCAGAGGUCUUAGACACUCAGUGAUAUCCUAAACCUGGCGAAGCAAUUUCUAAUCCUAUACAUCCUGAUGAGCCUCUUUGGACCAAACUCCCCAUUUAAUGUUUAGUUGACACUUUCUGCAGCUGAGUCUCAGAGUCAGAAUCAUAGCCAUAGUCCAUCAUUAGAUUCCUCCUCAUUCUGCUGGGAACAGGGGCAGCUUCAUAGCUAGUUCUAAAUAUGGCUCCUUCUUUCCUCAAAACAGUAGCAGAUGUUCUUUCUUAGACCCAUCAUGUGGAGUUAUCAUGCCCAUUUUUAAUCUGAUAACUGCAUCAGCCUAUUACUUAUGUAUAUGUUUAUUGUCUUUAUGUGGCGUAUUUACUCCCAGUUACUUAGGGAGUGGAAAGAUUUGUUUUAGAAGUUUACACAAUAUAUCCUUACUAGUUCAACUAUGGGAUUUACAUGAAGUCAUCUUACUCUCCCCUUCAUGUAUUAUGGUGGGGUUAUUAUAAAAAUAGUCACAUCUUCAUACCUUUUCAGGAGUACAUACAGUUCCCUUUCAAAAUACAACCACCAAAAAAAAAAAAUCUACUGAAACAACUGACCAAUGUUCUUUUCUUAGAAAAAUCAAUCUCAUCAGUAGCUCAUGAAAUUCAAUUUCCCUGGUCAGGAGCAAAGCAGAUAAUCAUCACUUCAUAAUAUUUAUAGAUGUGAGAAAUGCAGAGUAAAUAAAAUUGCCCUCUAAAACUAUCAUCAAAUUCUUUAAAACUUUUUAGUUUAUCUGAAGGGGAUUUAUGAAGUGCUGGUAAGUGUUCUUUUUUUUCCCCUCAGUUUCUAUUUUGGCCAACACACAUCAGAGGCACUCAGUGUUUAUAAAUGAAUAAGGGGUAAGUAAAUGAAUAAAGUAAAAUACAGAUGACCCCUAAUUUGUACAUGAUGCAUUCCUGGAGACUGCUUCACAGAGGAGAUUGUUUAAUGGCAAAAUACUUACUGCAAGGAUACUGCUGCUUUUGUCUAUAGGAAAUUUUGGAAAUUGACAGUGGAUAAAGUAAGAAAGGACAAAAGUAAAUAUAGAUCUUCACUGGGUAAUAAAAAAUGAAUGUAAUGGUAAAAGAGCAGCAAGAUGAAGCAUGGCCACUGUAUAAAAAGUGGAAUUCUAAAAGAUAAUUGGAUAAAUGCAACACUUUCAUUCUUUCUUUAUUGAAAGUACCCACUGAAAAGAAAAAGAGGAGAGGAAACACCAUCUUCUCCAUAGAAGUAGGCCAAAAGCCAAUCCUUUUUUCCUCUCAAACUUGAAAAGUAUUAUGGAUUCCCUGAACUGGCUUAUCAGUUUCUUUUGGAUAGAUAAACACUACAAAUUACGAAAGACAGAAUGUGUGAGAUACAGGACUUGACCAAGAACCAACUGAGCCAAAGGGGAGAGAACCAAACACCAAAGAAAAUGUGGCUGAUCUGGUAUAAGAGUGUUCUGAGACAACAUACCCAAGUGGAAACACUGGCUUCUCCAGCUCACACUUUGCCCACAUCAUUCAACAGAGCACUAGCACUUUCCUCAUUCCAGAAGCACAGUAAGCAGAAAGAAACUAACACAAGAUCUACAGAGAAAACAAAAGGGAAAUCUGAUAGAAUAAUAAAAAGAACUGAAGAAAAUAAAUAAAAAUUCUUCAUAUUUUAAGGCAAAGUGAAUGUAAACUAUUUGAAGAAAUAUAUCAAGAAAAUAAUUAAAAGAUGUACACACAUCACCCUGAGAGAAAAGAAACACAUAGGCACCUUCUAAGAAUGAAACAAAAUGGAAGAAGAACCUCUAUCAAAAAUCAUGACCAUGGAUAUUUAUAGUGGUCUAGUAGUUAGGACCCAGCACUUUCUCUGCUGCAGCCCAGGCUCAAUUCUUUGUCUGGGGACUGAGAUCCUACCUACAUCAAGCCACUGCUCACCAAGGACAAAAAAAAUUGUGAUCACAUUAAAAAAAUUUUUAAGUUAAUUCUGAAAACAGCAUCCAUAGAAUAGUUUUAAUCUCAGUAAAAAAAAAAAAAAAAAAAA
ensembl:lncRNA